AGCAGGAAGCCAAAAGCUUCAAAUAAUGCUGCGUAAAUCUCUACUCGGAAAGUAAUGUAUGGCGACAGCCACUCGCCGUAAUUACACAACAAAGGAUGUUUUACUACAUCAGUAUUCCGCAGCAUAGCGACUGGCAAAAGUAUUUUAUUACCGAAAUUUGGCUUCAAGUCUAGAAAUUUUCAGGGCGAUAUAUGCAGAAGGAUUUAAAACAUUAAUCACGACAGUUUCCAAUGGAGUUCAACAAAUAAGCCUAUCGCCGUCCACUGCUGAACAUAGGCCUCUCCAAUAGAUUUACAGUGCGACCGGUCCAUUGCCACCUGCAUCCAACGAGACCCAGCGCUUUUUACUUUAUCAAAUUACAGCCGGACCCUUAUUUCCCUUCAGUUACAUAUACAAAGGAUGUCAAGGCAUAGAGUACAAUGCCGUGCAAAACUAUGCCCUGAAGUGAAUAUGUGCUUUUACGUGGUAAAUUUCAUCUCUUGCGCUAUUCAAUUGACAAUCAGUACGAAUUUAAACGCAUUAAACACAUAUUUAAAUGACAACAUCAUUGAUUAACUAAACUAAUGUAAGACAAAAAUACGUUAAAAAGUAUUUCUUACGCUUAGAAUUGGUUUUAGAAUAAUUUUAGUGUAGUUUCAAAAUGCGUAAAAUUUUCAUUAAUUGAAUAUUGUUUUGGGAUUCUCAUGAAAAGUGUUUCGAUAUAUUGUUUUUUCGUAGUAAAGGGAAUAUAUCAAAAAAUCAUUAUUGUUUUGAAUUAUUACAAAGUCUUUGGUACGAGGUAUAAACUGUUCAAACUUACAUACCUAGUUUUAUAAACACUAAUCAACAUUACAAAUGCAUAUAUGAAAUAUGUACAAAAAAUUUUCAAGUCUCAUUAUGGUGAUACUGAAAAAUUUACUGUGAAAAAAUACUUUGGAAGAAGGGUUACAAUUUUAUAUUUCAGUAAACAGUCAUUGUGCUUAUGUUGUUUUCAUUUAAAAAAUCAAAAAUAAAUUAUAGCUCCGUGCUCAUUUCGGCAGGAACUGGCUUAUUUCCGGAGAAGGAUGGCGUAGGCGUUUCCGAUGACUCUCCUGGUUCGUUCAGUUGCUCUGCAGUCUAAUUGGAAAAAUAUCCUUCAGAUUUAUGACAUGAAAUUGUAUUUAAGAAAUUCUGUUUUUAUUUGAUAUAUUUUAUAUUAUAAUUACUGUAUUUUAUUAUAAUUACAUCAUAUUUAUUGUAGUAAUAACAA